rnacentral:rRNA from 1 species
AUGGAAAACAACUGGAUUGUAUGGAACGUGAGGGGUUUGAACAACCCAGCCAGGAGAGUAGUAGUUAAGGAGUUGUUGUACCGAAACAAUGUAUCCUUAGUAUGUUUGCAAGAAACAAAACUAUCCUUCGUCGAUAGAGCCAUGGUGAACCAAUGUUGUGGCAUGGAGUUCUCUGAGUUUGCAUACCUGCCGGCUGUUGGAUCCAGAGGAGGUGUGUUAAUGGCAUGGAAGGGUGACCACUACUCCAUGUCCACCAUUGCAGUUCAAGGAUACACGGUGGCGGCUGUGGGGAAUGAUGCCAAGGGAACUCCGGUGGGUGUGAUUGGGGUAUAUGGCCCGUAG